rnacentral:rRNA from 1 species
UACGUAGGGUCCGAGCGUUGUCCGGAAUUACUGGGCGUAAAGAGCUCGUAGGUGGUUUGUCGCGUUGUCCGUGAAAACUCACAGCUCAACUGUGGGCGUGCGGGCGAUACGGGCAGACUGGAGUACUGCAGGGGAGACUGGAAUUCCUGGUGUAGCGGUGGAAUGCGCAGAUAUCAGGAGGAACACCGGUGGCGAAGGCGGGUCUCUGGGCAGUAACUGACGCUGAGGAGCGAAAGCGUGGGGAGCGAAUGGG